UUCCGGUUGAUCCCGCCGGACCUGACUGCUAUCGGAUUGAUACUAAGCCAUGCGAGUCUUUGCAGUAAUGCAAGGCAUACGGCUCAGUAACACGUAGUCAACUUACCCUAUGGACGAGGAUAAUCUCGGGAAACUGAGCAUAAUACUCGAUAGAUCAUAAUGCCUGGAAUGGUUUAUGGUUGAAAUGAUUCGUCGCCAUAGGAUGGGACUGCGGCCUAUCAGCUUGUUGGUGAGGUAAUGGCCCACCAAGGCGAUUACAGGUACGGGCUCUGAGAGGAGAAGCCCGGAGAUGGGUACUGAGACAAGGACCCAGGCCCUAUGGGGCGCAGCAGGCGAGAAAACUUUGCAAUGUGCGAAAGCACGACAAGGUUAAUCCGAGUGAUUUCUGCUAAAGAAAUCUUUUGCAAGUCAUAAAACCACUAGUGAAUAAGGGGUGGGCAAGUUCUGGUGUCAGCCGCCGCGGUAAAACCAGCACCUCAAGUGGUCAGGAGGAUUAUUGGGCCUAAAGCAUCCGUAGCCGGCUCUGUAAGUUUUCGGUUAAAUCCAUGUGCUCAACGCAUGGGCUGCCGAAAAUACUGCAUAGCUAGGGAGUGGGAGAGGUAGACGGUACUCGGUAGGAAGGGGUAAAAUCCUUUGAUCUAUCGAUGACCACCUGUGGCGAAGGCGGUCUACCAGAACACGUUCGACGGUGAGGGAUGAAAGCUGGGGGAGCAAACCGGAUUAGAUACCCGGGUAGUCCCAGCUGCAAACGAUGCAGACUCGAUGAUGCAUUGGCAUAUAGCCAGUGCAGUGUCGCAGGGAAGCCGUUAAGUCUGCCGCCUGGGAAGUACGUACGCAAGUAUGAAACUUAAAGGAAUUGGCGGGGGAGCACCACAAGGGGUGAAGCCUGCGGUUCAAUUGGAAUCAACGCCGGA
rnacentral:rRNA from 1 species